rnacentral:lncRNA from 1 species
AAAAAGCGUGCCAAAUCUUUUCUACCUGUGCCUAAAAACGCAGAGGAUAAUGCUGAACUGCAGGAUUUAGAAGUUCAUUCUCUGGUCACUGAAUGUAUCAGGUCAAUGAAGCCUUCAAGGUGCCAACAGAGAUCAUGGUCAGGUGGACCCAUAUAUGAACUCCACCAACACAUUGAGAGGAUCCUUGCUGGAAAGGAACAGGCUGUUCCUAAGCCAAAAUCUGGUGCUUCUCAGAAGAAAAAGAUAACCCAAAAGGAACUGAAGAGGAAAAUUUAGGGCAGGA